AAUUGGAAAGUCGAAGCCGGGGGGACUCGAGCGGGGUUUUCACCGCCUCCUUCCCCGUUCCACGGUCGAGGUCAGACCCCGCGCUUCGCCUUCGCUCUCUCCGACAAAAAGGAGACGGGCGUGUCACACACAGACCAGCCCGGGGAGUACCCGGUUCUUCUCUCGUCGUCUGUCUCACGGAGUCUCGCACUCCCGGUAGCUUCGAGGGAGAAGUCCCGCAAGGGUGGAGACGCCGUCGCCGUCCGCGGCGCGGCGCUCCUCGAGGCAUUCUCCGCAGAGCAGAGAAAGGGGCACCGGUGUCGCCCGAUUUCCCCCCAGUCGGCGAGUCUCACUCGCGCGACCCGCCCUCGCGGCGGUGGGGGGAAGGAGGGAGCCCGCUUCCCCCCUCGGCUCGACGGAGGAUAUUUCUUUCCAGUCACAAGCAAAGAAGGCACAGAGUCCCCGUGUCCUUUCUCCUUCCGUUCCACUUCUUCCCUCGGCUCUGAGGAGAGUUUGCGAACGCGGGAGUCUUCCAGUGGCAAAUG
rnacentral:misc_RNA from 1 species